CAGUAGCCACGGGAAUACGUAGGUGGCAAGCGUUGUCCGGAAUUAUUGGGCGUAAAGGGCUCGCAGGCGGUUUCUUAAGUCUGAUGUGAAAGCCCCCGGCUCAACCGGGGAGGGUCAUUGGAAACUGGGAAACUUGAGUGCAGAAGAGGAGAGUGGAAUUCCACGUGUAGCGGUGAAAUGCGUAGAGAUGUGGAGGAACACCAGUGGCGAAGGCGACUCUCUGGUCUGUAGCUGACGCUGAGGAGCGAAAGCGCGGGGAGCGAACAGGAUUAGAUACCCCCGUAGUCCCUGUCUCUUAUAC
rnacentral:rRNA from 1 species